UACGAAGGGGGCUAGCGUUGCUCGGAAUCACUGGGCGUAAAGCGCACGUAGGCGGCUUUCUAAGUCAGGGGUGAAAUCCCAGGGCUCAACCCUGGAACUGCCCUUGAUACUGGAAGUCUCGAGUCCGGGAGAGGUGAGUGGAACUCCGAGUGUAGAGGUGAAAUUCGUAGAUAUUCGGAAGAACACCAGUGGCGAAGGCGGCUCACUGGCCCGGUACUGACGCUGAGGUGCGAAAGCGUGGGGAGCAAACAGG
rnacentral:rRNA from 1 species